rnacentral:rRNA from 1 species
AGAGCGUAUGGAGGAUGCCUUGGCACUAAGCGCCGAAGAAGGACGUGACUAACUGCGAUAAGCUGCGGGGAACUGUAAAUAAGUGUUGAUCCGCAGAUUUCCGAAUGAGGAAACUCACUGCAUUGAAGAUGCAGUAUCUUUACACAAAUCAAAUAGUGUACUGAGGGGAACCCGGUGAACUGAAACAUCUCAUUAACCGGAGGAAAAGAAAGUAAAUUAACGAUUCCGAGAGUAGUGGCGAGCGAAAUUGGAAGAGCCCAAACUUUUAGUAGUGAUAUUAAAAGGGUUACGGACCCACAAAUCAUUAGAUGUUGGUAGUCGAACAGGCUGGAAAGCCUGGCCAAAGAGAGUGAUAGCCUCGUAGGCGGCAUCGACAUUUAAGUGGUGGGUAUCCAGAGUACCACAGGACACGUGGAAUCCGGUGGGAAUAUGCGAGGACCAUCUCGUAAGGCUAAAUACGACUUAGUGACCGAUAGAGUAUAGUACCGUGAGGGAAAGGUGAAAAGAACCCCGGGAGGGGAGUGAAAGAGAACCUGAAACCAUAUGCUUACAAGCAGAGAAAGCACGACUUAACGUGUGAUCUCGUACUUUUUGUAGAACGGACCGGCGAGUUACGAUGUGUUGCGAGGUAAAGGCAUUAAGUGCCGAAGCCGAAGCGAAAGCGAGUCUGAUAAGGGCGAUUGAGUAGCAUGUCGUAGACCCGAAACCGAGUGACCUAACCAUGGGCAGGGUGAAGCCGCGGUAAAACGCUGUGGAGGCCCGAACACACGCCUGUUGAAAUAGUCGGUGAUGACCUGUGGUUAGCGGAGAAAUUCUAAUCGAACUCGGAUAUAGCUGGUUCUCCUCGAAAUAGCUUUAGGGCUAGCGUCUAAAUAGAGUAUUGAAGGUAGAGCACUGAAUAGGCUAGGGGACUUCACGGUUUACUGAACCUUAUCAAACUUCGAAUGUCAAUUACUUGUUUUUAGGCAGUCAGACAGUGGGAGCUAAGUUUCAUUGUCAAAAGGGAAACAGCCCAGACCUACAGCUAAGGUCCCUAAGUUCAGGUUAAGUGGAAAAGGAUGUAUUGUUGCUUAGACAACCAGGAUGUUGGCUUAGAAGCAGCCACUCAUUCAAAGAGUGCGUAAUAGCUCACUGGUCGAGUGACAACGCGCCGAAGAUUAUCGGGGCUCAAACCUGACACCGAAGCUUAGGAAUUGGAGUAAUUCAAUUGGUAGAGGAGCAAUGUAUGCACGCUGAAGCCAUAUCGAAAGGGGUGGUGGAGAGCAUACAAGAGAGAAUGCCGGUAUAAGUAGCGAAAGCGGAGUGAGAAUCUCCGCCAUCGAAAGUCUCAGGUUUCCUGGGGAAGGUUCGUCCCCCCAGGGUUAGUCGGGGCCUAAGUUGAGGGCGAAAGCCGUAGAUGAUGGACAGCAGGCAGAUAUUCCUGCACCACCACAGGACGUUAUUACUGAUGCAAUGACACAGAAGGAUAGUCAGACCCACCCGGAUGGUAAAGGGGGGCCGUUGUACGAGGCCGGUGCGUAGUGAAGUACGCGCACCGUUAAGGCUGGGUGCAGCGGGGAGCGAACUAUAGUAGCGGAAGCUGAUGAAUUCACACUGGCGAGAAAAGUUGCUAAGGAGGAAUGUGGUGCCCGUACCGCAAACCGACACAGGUAGACGAUGAGAGAAUCAUAAGAUGAUCGGGAUAACUCUUGUUAAGGAACUCGGCAAAAUGACCCCGUAACUUCGGGAGAAGGGGUGCCACGAAAGUGGCCGCAGUGAAAAGUCCCAAGCAACUGUUUACCAAAAACACAGGUCUCUGCUAAAUCGUAAGAUGAAGUAUAGGGGCUGACGCCUGCCCAGUGCUGGAAGGUCAAGGGGAGCUGUUAGCGCAAGCGAAGCAGUGAACUUAAGCCCCAGUGAACGGCGGCCGUAACUAUAACGGUCCUAAGGUAGCGAAAUUCCUUGUCAGGUAAGUUCUGACCCGCACGAAUGGCGUAAUGAUUUGGGAACUGUCUCAACAAGAGACCCGGCGAAAUUGUAGUAUGCGUGAAGAUGCGUAUUAACCUGCGACUGGACGGAGAGACCCCGUAGAGCUUUACUGUAACUUGGUAUUGAAUUCCGGCAACUGCUGUACAGGAUAGGUGGGAGACUGGGAAGCGCGGGCGUCAGCUUGCGUGGAGUCACCCUUGGGAUACCACCCUUCGGUUGCUGGGAUUCUAACGGUGUGCCGUUAGCCGGGCACCGGACAUUGCCAGGUGGGCAGUUUGACUGGGGCGGUCGCCUCCAAAAGAGUAACGGAGGCGCCCAAAGGUUUCCUCAGCGCGGACAGAAAUCGCGCGAAAGAGUGUAAAGGCAGAAGGAAGCUUAACUGGAAGACAGACAUGUCGAACAGAUACGAAAGUAGGGCUUAGUGAUCCGGUGGAAUUGAAUGGAAAAGCCAUCGCUCAACGGACAAAAGUUACCCUGGGGAUAACAGGCUUAUCUCCCCCAAGAGUUCACAUCGACGGGGAGGUUUGGCACCUCGAUGUCGGCUCA